rnacentral:rRNA from 1 species
ACCCGCUGAACUUAAGCAUAUCAAUAAGCGGAGGAAAAGAAACCAACAGGGAUUACCUCAGUAACGGCGAGUGAAGCGGUAAUAGCUCAAAUUUGAAAUCUGGCUUCGGUCCGAGUUGUAAUUUGUAGAAGAUGCUUCGGGUGUGGCUCCGGUCUAAGUUCCUUGGAACAGGACGUCAUAGAGGGUGAGAAUCCCGUAUGUGACUGGAUGCCUCCGCCUAUGUGAAGCUCUUUCGACGAGUCGAGUUGUUUGGGAAUGCAGCUCAAAAUGGGUGGUAUAUUUCAUCUAAAGCUAAAUAUUGGCCAGAGACCGAUAGCGCACAAGUAGAGUGAUCGAAAGAUGAAAAGCACUUUGGAAAGAGAGUUAAACAGUACGUGAAAUUGUUGAAAGGGAAGCGUUUGCAAUCAGACUUGCACGUUGCCGAUCAUCUGGUGUUCUCACCAGUGCACUCGGUUUCGUUCAGGCCAGCAUCGGUUUGGGUGGUUGGAUAAAGGCCUUGGGAAUGUAGCUUCUUUCGGGGAGUGUUAUAGCCCUCGGUGCAAUGCAGCCUACCUGGACCGAGGACCGCGCUUCGGCUAGGAUGCUGGCGUAAUGAUUGUAAACGACCCGUCUUGAAACACGG